rnacentral:lncRNA from 1 species
UUGAGAAAAGGGACAGAACAAGUCCCAGAGGAAUUAAAGUGGCAUUAGGAACUGAGGUGGUUAGUAGGCCUUGGACAGGAGGAAGGAUGUCUGUCCCUUCCUUUUUGACUUUUUUUCUUUUGUAAUUUGGGCAGUGUCUUCUCAAGGAAAUGACAAACAAGCUGCCAGAGUGGAGGGGUGAGAUUCGGAGGGUUAGAAACGCUAAAGGAUCAGGGCUGAAGAGUGAGGUCUGAAUGGUGUGUAGGUAGCAGGUGCUAGGUAGCAGGGCAGUCCGAGUUCCUUCUGACACUGGGCUGAGGAGAGGAGCCAGAGGCUGCACAGGUCUGAGUGAGGGUGAGGAGAACUCAGGUGGACCAGGCUGUCUAGAAGCUGCCCAGUGUCCAACUGACUGGAGAACUCUAGGUUGACUGACUGCAUUGACUUACCUUCCUCCUCCUCGGGAGGUGAAAGCUCCGGCAGGAAGCUGUCUGAGCAGUGCUGCCAGCCAUCAUCAUGCCGUCUUUUCUGUCUAUUGCAUGGGAAGAGAAUUCCUGUGUUUUUGAGGAUUUAUUGAGGAGAUUGUCAGCACGUGGGCAUUUGACUGCCAUAGUGACUCUAACGCUUGAGUCUGUUUUCAGUUGUCACCACAGGCACUUUUCACACUAAAGACUCUAACAGAAAAACCCUGACCAGAAGUCAGCCGUGCUUGACAUCCUUUAAUUCUCUGGACAUUACUUCCUCUAAAGCAAAAAAGGGAAAAGAGAAGGAAA